rnacentral:rRNA from 1 species
CAGCCGCCACGGUAAUACGUAGGGCGCAAGCGUUGUCCGGAAUUAUUGGGCGUAAAGAGCUCGUAGGCGGUCUGUCGCGUCUGGUGUGAAAUCCCGAGGCUCAACCUCGGGCUUGCAUCGGGUACGGGCAGACUAGAGUGCGGUAGGGGAGACUGGAAUUCCUGGUGUAGCGGUGGAAUGCGCAGAUAUCAGGAGGAACACCGAUGGCGAAGGCAGGUCUCUGGGCCGCAACUGACGCUGAGGAGCGAAAGCAUGGGGAGCGAACAGGAUUAGAUACCCCUGUAGUCCCUGUCUCUUAUAC